rnacentral:lncRNA from 1 species
GUGACCAAGAUUUAAGAUUAAUCUUCCCAUCUGUCGUAGUCACUGCUCUAGUGCUGGGAAGGGACAUCACAAUCAAGGCAACUCUUAGAACGGAAAGCAUUUAAUGGAGGACUUGCUUAUAGUUUCAUCAUGGCUGGGUGUAUUGCAGCAUGAAGGAAAAUGGAUAGAACUGGAGGGCAUCCUGUUAAGCAAAACAAGCCAGACACAGACAAAUAAAUAGCACAUCUUCUCUCUUGUGUGGAAUCUCAACUAGAAGACGAAAACAAACUGAACACACAUACGUGGAAGGGAGUGUUUGAGAAGAGGGAGGUUUGAGUACCAGUGCUCAGCGGGCCAAGAGGAUGAUGAACGGUGAACACGGUUGAGGUACCUGACGUAUGCUAGAAAAUGCCUAAUAAAAUCUGUUAUUUUGUACACUUAUACACUAAUUUAAAAAAGAAAAAUGUAUUGCCAAUACAAACAACU